UGGAGAGUUUGAUCCUGGCUCAGAGCGAACGUUGGCGAUGCGUCUUAAGCAUGCAAGUCGAGCGGACUUAUUCGGGCAACUGGAUAAGUUAGCGGCGAACUGGUGAGUAACACGUAGGUAAUCUGCCGUAGAGUGGGGGAUAACCCAUGGAAACAUGGACUAAUACCGCAUAUACUCUUACUACACAAGUAGAGUAGAGGAAAGGAGCAAUCCGCUUUACGAUGAGCCUGCGGCCUAUUAGCCUGUUGGUGGGGUAACGGCCUACCAAAGCUACGAUAGGUAGCCGACCUGAGAGGGUGACCGGCCACAUUGGGACUGAGAUACGGCCCAGACUCCUACGGGAGGCAGCAGCUGAGAAUCUUCCACAAUGGACGAAAGUCUGAUGGAGCGACAUCGCGUGAGGGAUGAAGGCCUUCGGGUUGUAAACCUCGGAAAUUAUCGAAGAAUGAGUGACAGUAGAUAAUGUAAGCCUCGGCUAACUACGUGCCAGCAGCCGCGGUA
rnacentral:rRNA from 1 species